UACGUAGGGGGCAAGCGUUGUCCGGAAUCAUUGGGCGUAAAGCGCGUGUAGGCGGUUCGGUAAGUCUGCUGUGAAAGUCCAGGGCUCAACCCUGGGAUGCCGGUGGAUACUGUCGGACUAGAGUACGGAAGAGGCGAGUGGAAUUCCCGGUGUAGCGGUGAAAUGCGUAGAUAUCAGGAGGAACACCGGUGGUGUAAACGGCUUUCUGGACCAUAACUGACGCUGAGGCACGAAAGCGUGGGUAGCAAACAGG
rnacentral:rRNA from 1 species